GGCCAGACUCCUACGGGAGGCAGCAGUGGGGAAUAUUGCACAAUGGGCGAAAGCCUGAUGCAGCGACGCCGCGUGAAGGAUGAAGUAUUUCGGUAUGUAAACUUCUAUCAGCAGGGAAGAAAAUGACGGUACCUGACUAAGAAGCCCCGGCUAACUACGUGCCAGCAGCCGCGGUAAUACGUAGGGGGCAAGCGUUAUCCGGAUUUACUGGGUGUAAAGGGAGCGUAGACGGCGAUGCAAGCCAGAUGUGAAAGCCCGGGGCUCAACCCCGGGACUGCAUUUGGAACUGUGCGGCUGGAGUGCGGGAGGGGCAGGCGGAAUUCCUGGUGUAGCGGUGAAAUGCGUAGAUAUCAGGAGGAACACCGGCGGCGAAGGCGGCCUGCUGGACCGCGACUGACGUUGAGGCUCGAAAGCGUGGGGAGCGAACAGGAUUAGAUACCCCCGUACC
rnacentral:rRNA from 1 species